AUAGAUGUUUCUUGUGGAUGUGAAUAUUUUUAAUGUCGAAAAAUAAUAAAUAAUAAUAAAUAAAAAAUAAAAAUAAAUAAAAAUAAUAGUUUUUAAAUUGGCAUUACUCAAAAUACUCAACUUAAGCGUGUCUUUUCUUUCAAUAUUAUUGAGGGAAUAUUGAGGGUGGGUUCGUUUACAUUAGGAAGUAGUUUUAUUUUGAAAAAACAUUCUAUCUUUACGUCAUAUCCUGUUUGUCUCCCGACCCCAUUUUCUGCUAAGCUCUCUCUGCUUUAGCACGCACGUUGGGUUUGCUCGUGGCUAACAGCUGACGAUUGCAAACUACGUGUCUCCGCGUCUACAUUCACCGUAGGAACGCGUGUGUGCUGGAAGCGGCUGCUUGUUCGAGAAGUCUGCUAAAGAACUUCUUAAGUUGACAUCAGCCCUUGUGUGGCAGCAUAUUUGCCCUUGUCAUUUCACCUGUGUGCUGCCAGGUGAGGCUGCAACUACGUCUGCUGACACUCCUCACACUAGAGGAGCACUACUUUGCUCUAACCAAAGUAGUGUGUGCUGCCGGUGAGGCUGCAACUACGUCUGCUGACAGUCCUCACCUUAGGAGGACACAACUUUGCUCUAACCAAAGUUAAGAACAACACAAGAGCAACUGAAGUACCUCAGUGAGUCGUGUGCCACUGAGAGAACUAUCUCAGUGAGUCGUCUGCCACUGAGAGAACUAUCUCAGUGAGUCGUCUGCCACUGAGAGAACUAUCUCAGUGAGUUGUGUGCCACUGAAAGAACUAUCUCAGUGAGUCAUGUGCCACUGAAAGAACUAUCUCAGUGAGUUGUGUGCCACUGAAAAAAUUAUCUCAGUGAGUCGUGUGCCACUGAAAAAAGUAUCUCAGUGAGUCGUGUGCCACUGAAAAAAGUAUCUCAGUGAGUCGUGUGCCACUGGGAAAAAAGUAUCUCAGUGAGUCGUGUGCCACUGAAAAAAGUAUCUCAGUGAGUUGUGUGCCACUGAAAAAAGUAUCUCAUUGAAUUGUGUGCCACUGAAAAAAGUAUCUCAUUGAAUUGUCUGCGACUGAAAAAAGUAUCUCAGUGAGUUGCCUGCCACUGGAAGAAGAGUCUCACUGAAAAGUGUCCCCUGGAACCGGGUCGUCGACAAGUCAUCCCUGGAACCGGGUCAUCGACAAGUCAUCCCUUGAAAAUCGGAACAUCAUUACUGACAUUAAAGUCUGUUUUGUGUGUUGUCAUCUUUAUUUGAAUAAAACUUCCUCACUCAUUUUUUGUAUUGGUGUGAAAAUAGCAUAUAUAUUUUUAGAUUAUAACAGCUGACGCUGCUGAUUCCAUUUUACCUCUGUAUAUUCUAUAUAUAUUCAAGGUUAGAGGACAUUGAAGGUAAAAUAUUAAAUACUUAUCUCCCCUUUUAAUCCUUACUGAUCAUUACCAGUUCAAUUGAAAAGUGUCCCUUGGAACUGGGUCGUCGACAAGUCAUCCCUGGAACCGGGUCAUCGACAAGUCAUCCCUUGAAAAUUGGAAAAUCAUUACUGACAUUAAAGUCUAUUUUGUGUGUUGUCAUCUUUAUUUGAAUAAAACUUCCUCACUCAUUUUUUGUAUUGGUGUGAAAA